UUCUUCAGUGAGGAUCUUACCAGCAUGAAGGAUGCCCUUGAGAGACUUUCAGAUUUGGACGAGCUAGACAAGCAAACCAAAGGGUGGAGAGACCAAGUAAGGGAGAUGUCAUGUGGCAUUGAGGAAAUCAUCGAUGACUUCAUGUGCUGUGUUGGGGCAAAAAGUGAAACCGAUGGUUUUGGAAGGAAGACUGUGCGACUCGUUAAAAAGUUGAGAGCCCACCACCAAAUUGCUGGACGGAUCAAUGAGAUCAAGUAA
rnacentral:rRNA from 1 species